rnacentral:rRNA from 1 species
GACAGAGGCCCCAAGCGUUAUGCGGAAUCACUGGGCUUAAAGCGUGUGUAGGCGGACGCCUAAGUGUCUUGUGAAAUCCCACGGCUCACCCGUGGAACUGCUGGGCAUACUGGGCGUCUUGGGCCAACUAGGGGCAGCCGGAACAAGCGGUGGAGCGGUGAAAUGCGUAGAUAUCGCUUGGAACGCCGAAGGUGAAAACAGGCUGCUGGGGUUGCGCCGACGCUGAGACACGAAAGCCAGGGGAGCAAACGGG